rnacentral:rRNA from 1 species
GACAGAGGGUGCAAACGUUGCUCGGAAUUACUGGGCGUAAAGCGCGUGUAGGCGGGCCUUCAAGUCGGACGUGAAAUCCCUGAGCUCAACUCAGGAACUGCAUCCGAAACUGAAGGCCUGGAGGUAGUGGAGAGGGAAGCAGAAUUCCUGGUGUAGAGGUGAAAUUCGUAGAUAUCAGGAGGAACACCGGUGGCGAACGGCGGCUCCUGGACACUUA